rnacentral:rRNA from 1 species
GAUGAACGCUGGCGGCGUGCCUAAUACAUGCGAGUCGAGCGAACAGACGAGGAGCUUGCUCCUCUGACGUUAGCGGCGGACGGGUGAGUAACACGUGGAUAACCUACCUAUAAGACUGGGAUAACUUCGGGAAACCGGAGCUAAUACCGGAUAAUAUAUUGAACCGCAUGGUUCAAUAGUGAAAGACGGUUUUGCUGUCACUUAUAGAUGGAUCCGCGCCGCAUUAGCUAGUUGGUAAGGUAACGGCUUACCAAGGCAACGAUGCGUGGCCGACCUGACAGGGUGAUCGGCCACACUGAGACUGAGACACGGUCCAGACUCCUACGGGAGGCAGCAGUAGGGAAUCUUCCGCAAUGAGCGAAAGCCUGACGGAGCAACGCCGCGUGAGUGAUGAAGGUCUUCGGAUCGUAAAACUCUGUUAUUAGGGAAGAACAAAUGUGUAAGUGACUAUGCACGUCUUGACGGUACCUAAUCAGAAAGCCACGGCUAACUUCGUG